AAGGAUUUUAGUCCUACCUUAAGUCUCUAAAAUACUAAAAUAUUUCCCAUAGACUUAAGAGCUACUCAAAUAAGGUACAGCCUAUUUGACACAGGAAACAACCUAAAACACAGGGUAACUUAUUACGGCACGUGCUUAAGUGGGCCUAAAAGCAGCCAACUUUUAAAAAGCGUUAAAGCUUCACCACCAGCCCCUCUAAUUCUUAAACCCACCUUAAACCCUUACUCAGUACUAAAUAACUCUAUUAUUUUAUAGAAGAUAUUAUGCUAAAACUAGUAACAAGAAGAAGCCCUUCUCCUAAAUGCACGUGUACGCCAAAAAGAACUAAUCAUUGGCAUUUAACGCUACAGAUCUGUAAGCAGUAACACUUCAAGAAAACCCUGCUUUAAAUAACGUUAACCUCACACAAGAGCAUUACAGGAACGAUUAAAAGAAGUGGAAGGAACUCGGCAAACUCUAACCCCGCCUGUUUACCAAAAACAUCGCCUUCUGAAGAAAAUAGAAGGUCCAGCCUGCCCAGUGACCAAGUUAAACGGCCGCGGUACCCUAACCGUGCAAAGGUAGCGUGCGG
rnacentral:rRNA from 1 species